AAAUGAAUAGACGGGGGCCCGCACAAGCGGCGGAGCAUGCGGAUUAAUUCGAUGCAACGCGAAGAACCUUACCAAGGCUUGACAUACACGUGUAACUUCCAGAGAUGGUUGCCCCUUUUAGGUGCGUGUACAGGUGGUGCAUGGUUGUCGUCAGCUCGUGUCGUGAGAUGUUGGGUUAAGUCCCGCAACGAGCGCAACCCUUGUCUCAUGUUGCCAGCACGUUAUGGUGGGGACUCAUGGGAGACUGCCGGGGUUAACUCGGAGGAAGGUGGGGAUGACGUCAAAUCAUCAUGCCCCUUAUGUCUUGGGCUUCACGCAUGCUACAAUGGCUGGUACAGAGGGUUGCGAUAUCGUAAGGUGGAGCGAAUCCCUUAAAGCCAGUCUCAGUUCGGAUUGGGGUCUGCAACUCGACCCCAUGAAGUCGGAGUCGCUAGUAAUCGCAGAUCAGCAACGCUGCGGUGAAUACGUUCCCGGGCCUUGUACACACCGCCCGU
rnacentral:rRNA from 1 species